rnacentral:rRNA from 1 species
UACGGGGGGGGCAAGCGUUGUUCGGAAUUACUGGGCGUAAAGGGCGCGUAGGCGGCCUGUUAAGUCACACGUGAAAUCCCUCGGCUCAACCGGGGAACUGCGUGUGAUACUGGCGGGCUUGAAUUCGGGAGAGGGAUGUGGAAUUCCAGGUGUAGCGGUGAAAUGCGUAGAUAUCUGGAGGAACACCGGUGGCGAAGGCGGCAUCCUGGACCGGUAUUGACGCUGAGGCGCGAAAGCCAGGGGAGCAAACGGG